rnacentral:rRNA from 1 species
AUGCCUACGGGUGGCAGCAGUGAGGAAUAUUGGUCAAUGGGCGGGAGCCUGAACCAGCCAAGCCGCGUGGAGGAGGAAGGUACAGAGUAUCGUAAACUCCUUUUGUCAGGGGAUAAAAGGCGGGAUGCGUCCCGUCCCGAAGGUACCUGAAGAAAAAGCAUCGGCUAACUCCGUGCCAGCAGCCGCGGUAAUACGGAGGAUGCGAGCGUUAUCCGGAUUUAUUGGGUUUAAAGGGUGCGUAGGCCGCGUCUUAAGUCAGCCGUCAAAGCCCGGGGCUCAACCCCGGCCAGCGGUUGAAACUGGGAUGCUCGAGAGGAAGAGAAGUAUGCGGAAUUCGCGGUGUAGCGGUGAAAUGCUUAGAUAUCGCGAAGAACUCCGAUUGCGAAGGCAGCAUACCGGCUUCUGUCUGACGCUGAGGCACGAAAGCGUGGGGAUCGAACAGGAUUAGAUACCCUUGUAGUCC